UAGGGGAUAUUGCAUAAUGGGCGAAAGCCUGAUGCAGCAACGCCGCGUGUGCGAUGAAGGCCUUCGGGUUGUAAAGCACUUUUAGCAGGGAUGAGGAAGGACAGUACCUGCUGAAUAAGCCUCGGCUAACUACGUGCCAGCAGCCGCGGUAAAACGUAGGAGGCGAGCGUUAUCCGGAUUUACUGGGUGUAAAGCGCGUGCAGGUGGUUCGGUAAGUUGGAUGUGAAAGCUCCUGGCUUAACUGGGAGAGGUCGUUCAAAACUACCGGACUUGAGUAUGGGAGAGGGAGGCGGAAUUCCGGGUGUAGUGGUGAAAUGCGUAGAUAUCCGGAGGAACACCAGUGGCGAAAGCGGCCUCCUGGCCCAAAACUGACACUCAUACGCGAAAGCUAGGGGAGCGAACGGG
rnacentral:rRNA from 1 species